rnacentral:rRNA from 1 species
GACGAACGCUGGCGGCGUGCUUAACACAUGCAAGUCGAGCGGUAAGGCCCUUUCGGGGGUACGACGAGCGGCGAACGGGUAGGAGUAACACGUGGGUGGACCUCGCCCUCCAGCUCUGGGAGUAAAGCCUGGGAAACGUAGGGUCGUAAUACUGGAUAUGACUCCACGGUGCAUGUCGUGGGGUGGAAAGCCUUGUGCGGCUGAGGAUGGGCCCGCGGCCUAUCAGCUCGUUGGUGGGGUGGAUGGCCUACCAAGGCGACGACGGGUAGCCGGCCU